rnacentral:rRNA from 1 species
GAUGAACGCUGGCGGCGUGCCUAAUACAUGCAAGUCGAGCGAACAGAUAAGGAGCUUGCUCCUUUGACGUUAGCGGCGGACGGGUGAGUAACACGUGGGUAACCUACCUAUAAGACUGGGAUAACUUCGGGAAACCGGAGCUAAUACCGGAUAACAUUUGGAACCGCAUGGUUCUAAAGUGAAAGAUGGUUUUGCUAUCACUUAUAGAUGGACCCGCGCCGUAUUAGCUAGUUGGUAAGGUAACGGCUUACCAAGGCAACGAUACGUAGCCGACCUGAGAGGGUGAUCGGCCACACUGGACCUGAGACACGGUCCAGACUCCUACGGGAGGCAGCAGUAGGGAAUCUUCCGCAAUGGGCGAAAGCCUGACGGAGCAACGCCGCGUGAGUGAUGAAGGGUUUCGGCUCGUAAAACUCUGUUAUUAGGGAAGAACAAACGUGUAAGUAACUGUGCACGUCUUGACGGUACCUAAUCAGAAAGCCACGGCUAACUACGUG